rnacentral:rRNA from 1 species
UACGUAGGGUGCGAGCGUUAAUCGGAAUUACUGGGCGUAAAGCGUGCGCAGGCGGUUCGCUAAGACAGAUGUGAAAUCCCCGGGCUUAACCUGGGAACUGCAUUUGAUACGUGUUGUCUUGAGUUCGGAAGAGGGUCGUGGAAUUCCCAGUGUAGAGGUGAAAUUCGUAGAUAUUGGGAAGAACACCGGUGGCGAAGGCGGCGACCUGGUCCGACACUGACGCUGAGGCGCGAAAGCGUGGGGAGCAAACAGG